AGUGAACGCUGGCGGUAGGCCUAACACAUGCGAGUCGAACGGCAGCACAGUAAGAGCUUGCUCUUACGGGUGGCGAGUGUCGGACGGGUGAGGAAUACAUCGGAAUCUACUUUUUCGUGGGGGAUAACGUAGGGAAACUUACGCUAAUACCGCAUACGACCUACGGGUGAAAGCAGGGGAUCUUCGGACCUUGCGCGAUUGAAUGAGCCGAUGUCGGAUUAGCUAGUUGGCGGGGUAAAGGCCCACCAAGGCGACGAUCCGUAGCUGGUCUGAGAGGAUGAUCAGCCACACUGGAACUGAGACACGGUCCAGACUCCUACGGGAGGCAGCAGUGGGGAAUAUUGGACAAUGGGCGCAAGCCUGAUCCAGCCAUACCGCGUGGGUGAAGAAGGCCUUCGGGUUGUAAAGCCCUUUUGUUGGGAAAGAAAAGCAGCAGGUUAAUACCCCGCUGUUCUGACGGUACCCAAAGAAUAAGCACCGGCUAACUUCGUG
rnacentral:rRNA from 1 species